CUUAUGGAGAGUUUGAUCCUGGCUCAGGAUGAACGCUGGCGGCGUGCCUAAUACAUGCAAGUCGAACGCAUCACGUAAGUGGUGAGUGGCGAACGGGUGAGUAACACGUAGGUAACCUGCCCUUAAGACGAGGAUAACCGUUGGAAACGAUGGCUAAAACUGGAUAGGAUGAUUGAAGGCAUCUUCGAUCAUUUAAAAGACCUAGCAAUAGGUAUG
rnacentral:rRNA from 1 species